UGCUGUUUGCUUGCUUUUAUUUCUAAUAAAAUUUUAAAAGAGAUUUUCUGUUAGCCUAUUUAUAACAAUUGGUGCAUUGGCCAGGAAGGCAUUGAUCUUCUCCGUCUUUUGACCCCAUAUGAAGGGGCAUCCCCGAUCGAGCUUCCAGUGGCUUCAGUGUGGUCAGGAGACAGGAAGUCAGCACUUUCUGAACCUGAAUAAGAGCAAGCAAAGCAAAGCAAAGCAAAGGAAUUCCUUUUGUUCAAUUGGCAAUACAUUACCCCUGUAAGACUUUGUGCACGAAGAUCUGGACGAUGCAUGGUAGAGCCCAGCACAAGACUCAAAGGAUGGGACAAAGAGCAAUGCCCAUGAAUCUGAAAAUCGAUAGAUCUGAAGCUGAUCACAUGAGUGUCCCCCAAGGAAACCUCCCAUUUGGGGCUAAAUAUCUCAAUGCCUUAAUGUCAGAUUCUGGACUAUGCUGGGUCCCAGCAAGAGGGGUUCGACUGGUACUUUCAUCAUCCUUUGGAUGCUGACUGCAGUAGCAGCUUUGCAAAUUCAGAAGCAGAAAAAUGUGUGGAUCAUACUGUGCUUCUUGGUGUCAGUGCUCACUUUUUGUUGGUUUUGCUCUUCUGGGGAAUCAUUUGCAUGGAGAGAGUGAAGCCAGCUCCUCCUCCCCUUUAUCCACAUAACCCCUUUGAGGAUAAUGAGUUUAUUUUGUUGGCAAAAUCUGUAAGUGAGGCCUUUAAUUUAAGCAACUCUUGGGUUUGUGGAUGGCCUAUGGGCCUAUCCAACUGGCCUUGGACCUCUAUACGCCUCAUAUCAGGAUAAAUCAUGAGUAAUUACAGUUAGAUUAAUCAUUGUUCCUUCUUUGGGAGGGACCUUUUCUUGUCUUAUUAAUAACAGAUACCGCCAUUCAAACAGUGGAAAAAGGGUGGACACAUGUUUCACGAGUAGAAGGACCAGUUCGGGAAUGGACAGUAACCUCUGAGCCUGGAGAGACUAGAGUGAUCCUACAGAGAGUAAAACUGGUGUCAGCACGAAUUACACACAACUUAUACAGAUGGUUUGAAGUACCUCUGGGACUGUGGUUAGUGCUGACAAAUCAGUUAGGUACUCCGAUAAACAUAGCACCUCUGCCUGGGGGCUCCAGAGCUUACAAGACAGACCCACCCUUUACAUUAUAUGCAAUAGCAUGUGAUAAUGAAUCUGCAUUGCAAGAGAACACCGAGGAUUCCGAGGUUAUACACCCCCAUUUCAUUCCAUGUAUAAAACAUCCUAGAAAUUCGGGACAUCACUGGGGAUGGGUAACUCGUGAAUGUUUUAGAUGUUGUAAGAAAUGGUCUUGUAUCUGUUAUAAUCAGGGAGUAUUUUGUCCUGAAUGCUCAGGGGAUUGUAAAUCUAGACCUGAAAAUUGGGAGCCUGGAUUAAUAAGUAUAGAGACCUUAUUUUGUGGUGAAGAAAAAGGAUUUAAGUCCUCUUGGAAAAUUCUUGAAAGGGGUUGUCAUAAGUGGGAGAUAAAGGCUAGAGAAAUUUUAGUUAAGGAAUACCAAGAGCAGCUGAAGGGGUUAGUAAAAGGGAAAAGCAAGGGAGACAUAAGGAAAAUUAUUUUGAAAGAGUUUGAGGAAAGAGGUAUUGGAAUAACAAAAGCACAAUGGGAAAUGAUAAACGAGUUAACUGAGGAAGUAGAGAAGAGACUCCAACUGAAAUCUUAAAGUGGGUUAAGGAAUCUGUAGAGUUCCUGAAGAAUGUAACUGCUGCCGAGAAGAUAUCACACCUGGCUGCUGGCUACAAUCCAGUAGGCGAAGGAGGCAGAGUUAACAUAUACUGGUGGAACCUAAUCCUAACCCUAUUUUGUAUAAGGAGUCCAUUAAAAAUCAAAAAGACUAUAUAACAUGUUCCCAUGUGUGAGUAAAUUCACUUCCAAUACUAGUAAUGAUAGGCAGGCUCGAAAAUAUCUACUCAAAAUAGGCUAGCUUUGGAUUUGUUUUAUGCUAAGGCAGGUUUCUUGGGACGAUACUUCCUGGGGAUUUAAAGAAAUAUGAGAUAAGUUAACUUCUUGAUUUCUGAAUAUGACUUGGCUCAAACAGUUGUUUGUAAUGCUUGUUGGAAUAAUUGUAAUACUGAUCUGUAUAAAUCUUAGUAAUUAUUGUUUUAAGAUGAUAAGACUUUUAGGUAAAAUUGUUUGUACUAAUAAGUCACAAGUAGAUGGUAGUAGUUUUGAAGACUUAGAAAUUACAACACAAAUCAAUAGUAGCCGAAGGAGAAAAUGGGGGAUUGUGAUGAAUAUAAUGAUUUGUGUUAAAGGGUGAGCUAGAAGUAAAGUUCAAGGAGCUUGUUUUGGAAAACUGCAAGAGACUGUGUUUUCGAAAAACUCGAACAAAGAGCUAUGUGCACUUUUAACCAGACAAAUCAAAAGCACAGAAGGGGCCAGACUAGAGAUAAAGCGCUGUACCAGCUCUAUCCACGAAUGCAUGGAAUGUGUUGACUUCAGAUAAGAAACCUGAGGAACGGUGCAUGCUUACGAGGGGGGGUUAUUCAGCAGACUUCAUCCAUCAACCCCUGAGAAGACCCCUACCAAGCAGAAUGCGCAUGAGUAAGGAAAUCCCACCCAUUCUGAGAACUCUUUAUCAUAUCCCUGCCUUCUAUUUAGCAUAAGCCUCUUUAUGUAGAGUAUGUAGCUAUGUAAGAUUGAAGAAGCUAUUGUAAUUGCUGCUGAGUCUCCAGCCCAGCAUGCUGUUUGCUUGCUUUUAUU